UACGGGGGGGGCAAGCGUUGUUCGGAAUUACUGGGCGUAAAGGGCUCGUAGGCGGCCAACUAAGUCAGACGUGAAAUCCCUCGGCUUAACCGGGGAACUGCGUCUGAUACUGGAUGGCUUGAAUCCGGGAGAGGGAUGCGGAAUUCCAGGUGUAGCGGUGAAAUGCGUAGAUAUCAGGAGGAACACCGAUUGCGAAGGCAGCUCGCUGGGACGUAACUGACGCUGAGACGCGAAAGCGUGGGGAGCAAACAGG
rnacentral:rRNA from 1 species